UGAAAGCAUCUAAGCGGGAAGCCUCCCUUAAGAUAAGCAAUCAUCGAACCGUCAUAGACCAUGACGUUGAUAGGCCGGGUGUGGAAGCGCAGUAAUGCGUGGAGCUAACCGGUCCUAAUAGUUCUUUUCGCGCUUG
rnacentral:rRNA from 1 species